UACAGAGGGUGCAAGCGUUAAUCGGAAUUACUGGGCGUAAAGGGUGCGUAGGUGGUUAGGUAAGUUAGAUGUGAAAUUCCAGGGCUUAACCUUGGGACGGCGUUUAAAACUGCCUAGCUAGAGUACUGUAGAGGGAAGUGGAAUUUCCGGUGUAGCGGUGAAAUGCGUAGAUAUGGGGAGGAACACCGGUGGCGAAGGCGGCCACCUGGACGGUAACUGACGCUGAGACGCGAAAGCGUGGGGAGCAAACAGG
rnacentral:rRNA from 1 species